rnacentral:lncRNA from 1 species
CGCCCACCCCGCUCCGUCCCCGCCCUUUUUUCCCGCCAGGACCGUACCACGCCGCGCGGCCGGGGGGAGCAACCCGAUCCCCCCUCCCCUCUCGCGCGUUGGUGGGAGGCGCCGGCCGAGGCUAUAAAGGGGCGGGCUGGCGCGCGCGGCGCGCAGUGCGGGCGCCACGUGGAGCGGACGCGGAACGGCCGGCGCCGCCAUGGCCUCCAACGAUUACAGCCAGACGGCCACCCAAAGUUACGGCGCCUACCCCGCCCCCCCCAGCCAGAGCUACUCGCAGGGGGGGGGGCAGAGCUACGGCCAGCAGAGCUACGGCGGCUACGGGCAGGGCUCGGACAGCGGCUACGGCCAGGGCGGGUACGGCUCCUCCUACGGGCAGAGCCAGAGCGGUGAGUGAGGGCAAAAAUAUAAAAAAUGUAAAUUAAUUCACGAAAAUGCCAAAAAUCCCCGUGUUUGUAUCAUGUUGUAUUCAAAUGUGAGCCCCAAAGUGCCCCAAGGACCCGGGGUACGGCCAGGGCGGGUACGGCUCCUCCUACGGG